UCUCAGCUGUAUUGCUUCUGACUAGUAUUUGAAGCUUUCCCUAUUUUUAUAGGGAGGUUCAUGGCUCAAAUUAGUAUAUGUUUUGAAUAGGACUUGAUUGGUAGAGGAUAGUCACAUGAUGUGUAGUUGGGAACCACAA